rnacentral:rRNA from 1 species
GAUAAGUGCUGAAAGCAUCUAAGCAUGAAGCCCACCUCUAGAUGAGACUUCCCAUCAUUUUAAAUGAGUAAGAUCCCUCAGAGACGAUGAGGUUGAUAGGUUCGAGGUGGAAGCGUGGUGACACGUGCAGCUGACGAAUACUAAUAGAUCGAGGACUUAACUAA